AACGCACAUUGCGCCCAUUAGUAUUCUGAUGGGCAUGCCUGUCCGAGCGUCAUUUCAACCCUCAAGCCCUGGUUGCUUGGUGUUGGGGCCCUGCCGGCUUACGCGCAGGCCCCGAAAGCCAGUGGCGGGCGCGCCGCGACCCCGAGCGUAGUAGUUUACUUUCUCGCUUAGGGCGUCCGGCGCUGUUUCCCGGCCGUUAAACAGCUCUUCGGAGACUAUCACAAGGUUGACCUAGGAUCAGGUAGGAAUACCCGCUGAACUUAA
rnacentral:misc_RNA from 1 species